rnacentral:rRNA from 1 species
AACGCGAAGAACCUUACCAGGUCUUGACAUCCCUCUGAAUAUCCUAGAGAUAGGGUAGGCCUUCGGGACAGAGGAGACAGGUGGUGCAUGGUUGUCGUCAGCUCGUGUCGUGAGAUGUUGGGUUAAGUCCCGCAACGAGCGCAACCCUUGAUCUUAGUUGCCAGCACUUUGGGUGGGCACUCUAAGAUGACUGCCGGUGACAAACCGGAGGAAGGUGGGGAUGACGUCAAAUCAUCAUGCCCCUUAUGACCUGGGCUACACACGUACUACAAUGGUCGGUACAACGGGAAGCGAAGCCGCGAGGUGGAGCCAAUCCUAAAAAGCCGAUCUCAGUUCGGAUUGCAGGCUGCAACUCGCCUGCAUGAAGUCGGAAUUGCUAGUAAUCGCGGAUCAGCAUGCCGCGGUGAAUACGUUCCCGGGUCUUGUACACACCG